AUAUAUUAGGUGUCGAUGACUUAAUAGGGAAUUAGAUUAAAAGUCUAAGCUACCCCAGUAACCGUAAUACUGACGAAAUCUUAUAUACCACUGAGUAAUCGGGAAGGUAAGAAAGUAGAGUGAAGUUGAGCCGGGAGAACUGCCUAAUAUUUA
rnacentral:ncRNA from 1 species